rfam:Microgenomates (Curtissbacteria) bacterium GW2011_GWA1_40_16 TT84_C0007, whole genome shotgun sequence.
GGGCCUAUGGUUCAAUGGUAGAACAGGGCAUUCGCAUUGCCCAGAUCCGAGUUCGAUUCUCGGUAGGUCCA